rnacentral:rRNA from 1 species
UAUUGGACAAUGGGCGAAAGCCUGAUCCAGCCAUGCCGCGUGUGUGAAGAAGGUCUUCGGAUUGUAAAGCACUUUAAGUUGGGAGGAAGAGUUGUAGGCUAAUACCUUGCAAUUUUGACGUUACCAACAGAAUAAGCACCGGCUAACUACGUGCCAGCAGCCGCGGUAAUACGAAGGGUGCAAGCGUUAAUCGGAAUUAAUGGGCGUAACGCGCGCGUAGGUGGUUCGUUAAGUUGGAAGUGAAAGCCCCGGGCUUAACCAGGGAAUUGCUUGCAAAACUAACGAGCUAGAGUACGGUAGAGGGUAGUGGAAGUUCCUGUGUAGCGAUGAAAUGCGUAGGUAUAGGAAGGAACAUCAGUGGCGAAGGCGACUACCUGGACUGAUACUGACACUGAGGUGCGAAAGCGUGGGGAGCAAACAGG